AUACGGAGGGUCCGAGCGUUAUCCGGAAUCAUUGGGUUUAAAGGGUCCGUAGGCGGGAAUCUAAGUCAGUGGUGAAAUCUUGCAGCUCAACUGUAAAAUUGCCAUUGAUACUGGAUUUCUUGAAUUAGUGUGAAGUGGUUAGAAUGUGUAGUGUAGCGGUGAAAUGCAUAGAUAUUACACAGAAUACCAAUCGCGAAGGCAGAUCACUAACACUAUAUUGACGCUAAGGGACGAAAGCGUGGGGAGCGAACAGGAUUAGAAACCCCAGUAGUCC
rnacentral:rRNA from 1 species